rnacentral:miRNA from 1 species
GGGCGUCGGCGGGAGCGGUGCGGAGGCGCCUGCUCGCUGCCCAACCUCUGACGUCUUGGUUCCCGCAG